rnacentral:miRNA from 1 species
AUGUAUGAAUGCUGUGGUCGUU